CCCUUGUCAGGAACCUAUUUGAUGGCAGGCUAGACAGUGAGCUCCAGAAAGCUGGCAUGUGUCCCCAGUGCCUCUCUAAUCUUUUCUCUGGAUUAUUCACCUACCCAUUCCGCAGUGUGCCGUGGCACUGUCCUAGAUGACAGGGACCCAGUGAGGAGUGGAAAAGACCACAGAUACGGCCCCUAACCUCACAGAGUUGACUGUCUUAGUCCCUGGCCCAGGUAAUCUGGAAACUUGCCGUCAUGGAGAGGAGGGCUAUUCAGGUUGACGAACCCCAUGGAGUCUGGAGCCAUGACCUCACCAUGUACCUAUGCCUUUCAGCCUCCAGUCAUAUUGAUUUAGGUUCUGCCUGUAUCCUUCUCCAUGAACCAACCUGCCCUGGCAACUGAAGUCUUUUUCUGUAGUUCCAAGCAGAGCAUUUCACAAUGACGGACAGCCUUGGUGAAACUUUGAGCUCACAGAGUAUGUUAUCCUUGGCUGCCCGGUGACACUUUAUCAACGUGCUGGAGUAGAGGUGAAGGAAGAAAACCAAGUAUACUGUUAACAGAAAUGACUUGCUCUUACCUACUGCAUGCCUGGCCCUGAGAGUUCAUCAUCUGGCACUGGGUGAUCCUUGAAGAUUUGCAACAGUAUAAAAGAGCAGCAGUUGAGGAUGAUGCAUUUGGUGUAAAUUACAAGUUCCUUCUUGGGGCGGGUUUUUAUUUCAGGGGGUGAUCACAGGGCAGGGAGAGGUCCACGCAUCCCAGGACAAAACAAGACGGCAUCUGCUUCCUGGGUAAAUGAACAAAUAGAUGCAGAGCACCUAGCACGGUUCUUGGCACAAAAUCGGGGCUCUAGGAAUGUUACGUGAGAACGGUCGCUGGCCCGGCAUCCCCGCAUCUCCAGACCUCUGCCCGGCGGCAGAGACGCUCCCGAAGCCGACGCUCGCCGGGUGCAGCAGGCGCGGUGCCCGCAAAACCCGCCGCCCAGCCCGCCCUGCGUACGUGGAGCCCGGGCCGCACCGCCCCACACACCCCCUGCAACCUCGCGCGACGUCGCGCUCACCCACGGCCCCGCCCCCUGUGACACCACCUCCAGGAGGCAGGACUGCAGCGGCCCCGCCCGCGCCUCCUCCGAUAGGCCGCCGCGCUGUCACCACGUCGCGCGCGCGCGUGUGUGUGUGUGUGUGUGUGUGUGUGUGUGUGUGUGUGUGUGUGUG